UGGGCAACGAAAUAUUCGGUUGUUGUAAUAGCUAGUUCUGUUUGGAAAUAUGAAACUGCCAAUCAACGCAUGACAAUAUUAUUUCGAGAGACCACGUGCUUGAUAUAAAUAGUUAUAAUUUUUAAAAUGUUUAAUACACAAUCGCUUGUCCGAGAAACAGGAACAUUUUGUCGGACUAACGAUUUUUCCACUAUUCAGACUUAUCUUUAUAUGCCUAGUACUUAUUCUGUCUGUCUCUUUGCCGAAACGCUAAGUUACGGAGGUCAUCAACACACUAGCAUCGGUUGUCAAGCGAGGCGAGGGGACAAACACAGACAGACACACACACACACAUAUACGAUGAACUUUUUUCACUUUUCGUCUACCAAAUCCACUCACAGGGCUUUGGCUGACCCGAGGCUCUAGUAGAAGACACUUGCCCAAGAUGCCACGCAGUGGGAUUGAACCCAGAACCAUGUGGUUAGGAAGCAAAUUUCUCACCACACAACCAUGCCUCUGCCUAUAAACUAUAAAUUUCUCUGUGAGCAUAAAACGAAGUCACUUGUUCUCGAUAAAUCUACAAAUAGUCAGAGCAAUUCCAAUAUUUUGCAUGCCACGGAGAUGCAUAAACGUUUGAUUAUAUUACACAGCGAAGCUUAUAACUUCAAAAUAUUAAGUAUACUGCCAUAAACCUAACUCUAAUCCUAACGCCCAAACGAGUGUGCACUGUAAAAACAUAUCGUUACGUAGAUGCAUCGGGACCUCUGUAUCAAAGUAGUGCCCGAACUUUUUUCAUAAUGUAAAACAAUUUAUACGAAACUAUUAAUUUCUUCAUAGAAUUAGUUUCGUAUAAAGCCAAUAUUAUUGUUUACGUUCUUUGCCAUGUCACGCGGUAAACGACGAAGUCGAAAAAUGAUAUGUACUGACAUCGUUGACGACGAAAACAUUAGGCAAGAGUCUUGGACAUUUUCUGAUCUUUUUCAACAAACUUCCACAAAUGAUAUAGUAGUUACAUGGUUAGCAAAAUAUAAGCUCAUAAGCAAUUCUUUUAUGUGUCUCAUUUGUAACAGCCCAUGUACAUUUGUAAACCAGAAAGAUAUUAUCGAUGGAAAACGAUGGAGAUGUCGAAAACAUAACUUCGUCCGAUCGAUCCGCAAAGGGUCUUUUUUUGAGAAUAGUCAUCUCUCGCUGGCAACAUUCUUAUGGCUUAUGUAUAUGUGGUCAAGAGAUUAUCUACAUAAUGAAAUUACUCAUGAGACGAAUGUUUGUACAAAGUCAACUAUUGAUCUAUUUCGGCUCAUCCGAGAACUACUAGAGCGGUUUCUGGAAGACCAUCCCACAGAAUUAGAUGACCCACCUGAAAUUGGCGGCUUCGAUUUACAGACAGGUGAACCAAGAGUUGUUGAAAUUGAUGUAACCACAUUUCGCAGAUGUAAACCGAACAAGAAACAUUUGAAAGGAUUCUGUGUUUUUGGUGGAAUUGAACGUGGCACUGACAGAUGUUUCUUGGUACCUAUUGAGCAUGAAAAUAAAGAAGCUUUCGAAGCUGCAAUUAUCCGAUGGAUUUUACCAGAAUCAACUUUGAAGAAGAAAUAAGAAAACAUUUAUUUAUGUACACUGCUCUGAUGUUGACUUGUGUUCUGAAGAGGCACUCAUAUUAUAUCAGAUAUAUGGGCUGAAUAUCUUCAAAUUGACCAGAUCGAACAAGGCAUAUACACUCAUGAAUAUAUAGACUAUGAAAACCCAAAUGAUCCAGAAAUCCACACCAAAACUAUUGACGGGAUGUGGCAGAGAGUUAAACAACAAUUGCAACGUAAACAUUCGAUAAAUAAUAAAGCUUUAUUUCACUCAUAUUUAACAGAAUUUAUGUGGAGAUCUCAUUUUAAGAAUAAUGAUAAAUUUGCUGCUCUCAUUUAUUGUAUCAAACAUUUGUAUAAAGUCUAAUAAAUUUGAUUUUAUAUUUUUGUA